rnacentral:rRNA from 1 species
AUUGAACGCUGGCGGCAUGCUUUACACAUGCAAGUCGAACGGCAGCGCGGGCUUCGGCCUGGCGGCGAGUGGCGAACGGGUGAGUAAUACAUCGGAACGUGCCCAGUAGUGGGGGAUAGCUCGGCGAAAGCCGGAUUAAUACCGCAUACGACCUGAGGGUGAAAGCGGGGGAUCUUCGGACCUCGCGCUAUUUGAUCGGCCGAUGGCAGAUUAGCUAGUUGGUGGGGUAAAGGCCUACCAAGGCGACGAUCUGUAGCUGGUCUGAGAGGACGACCAGCCACAAUGGGAAUGGGAAAAGGGCCAGAAUCCUAAGGGAGGCAGGAGUGGGGAAAUUUUGGAAAUGGGGGAAAACCUGAACCAAGAAAGGCGCGGGGGGGAAGAAGGGCUUUGGGUUGUAAAACCCUUUUUGGGGGGAAGAAAAAGAAUGGGGGAAAAACCACGGUUCGAGAAGGGAACCCAAAAAAAAAACACGGGUAAAUAAGGG